ACACUCAUGUUUCGUCUCAAAGCGUAUAAUUUUUUCGUUUUUUACUAAAAAUUUCUGUGGGUUGGAUCAGAAUGAGUAAAAAUCAAUUUUUUGAUGAUUUGCUAAAAAGCAGAGCU